GACGAACGCUGGCGGCGUGCUUAACACAUGCAAGUCGAACGGUGAAGCUCCAGCUUGCUGGAGUGGAUCAGUGGCGAAAGGGUGAGUAACACGUGAGCAACCUGCCCCUGACUCUGGAAUAAGCGCUGGAAACGGCGUCUAAUACUGGAUACGAGAAGGGUCCGCAUGGGCACUUUCUGGAAAGUUUUUCGGUUGGGGAUGGGCUCGCGGUCUAUCAGCUUGUUGGUGAGGUAAUGGCUCACCAAGGCGACGACGGGUAGCCGGCCUGAGAGGGCGACAGGCCACACUGGGACUGAGACACGGCCCAUACGCCUACGGGAGGCAUCAGUGGGGAAUAUUGCACGAUGGGCGAAAGCCUGAUGCAGCGACGCCGCGUGAGGGAUGACUGCCUUCGGGUUGUAAACCUCGUUCAGCAGGGAAGAAGCGAAAGUGACGGUACCUGCAGAAGAAGCACCGGCUAACUACGUG
rnacentral:rRNA from 1 species